GGAGUCUGGACCGUGUCUCAGUUCCAGUGUGGGGGACCUUCCUCUCAGAACCCCUACUGAUCGAAGGCCAGGUGGGCCGUCACCCCGCCUGCUGCCUAAUCAGACGCAUCCCCAUCCCGAGGCGGCAAGCCUUUCGUGCAACUCUGAUGCCAUCAUCGCACGACAUCCGGCAUUAAUCCGACUUUCGCCGGGCUAUCCUCUAGUAAGGGGAAGGUUGGAUACGCGUUACUCACCCGUGCGCCGGUCGCCAGCAAAGAUAGCAAGCUAUCUCCCUGCUGCCCCUCGACUUGCAUGUGUUAAGCCUGUAGCUAGCGUUCAUC
rnacentral:rRNA from 1 species